GUGAACCACUCGACACUGCGCUUCUUCCGCGCCGUCCGCACCCCGCUGGCGACUGCGGGCUACGUUUUUGUCAGUC
rnacentral:sRNA from 2 species